UUCGAGUGGCGGACGGGUGAGUAACGCGUGGGUAACCUGCCUUACACAGGGGGAUAACACCUGGAAACAGGUGCUAAUACCGCAUAAGCGCACAGGGCCGCAUGGCCCGGUGUGAAAAACUCCGGUGGUGUAAGAUGGACCCGCGUCUGAUUAGCUUGUUGGCGGGGUAGGGGCCCACCAAGGCGACGAUCAGUAGCCGGCCUGAGAGGGUGGACGGCCACAUUGGGACUGAGACACGGCCCAAACUCCUACGGGAGGCAGCAG
rnacentral:rRNA from 1 species